GUUUAAUACUGCAGGGAGUUUGGGAUCUUCACAAAUUAUAACCAUAUUUUACUGGUGCCAAACCAUUUGUGAUCCAAGCUCAUUUGUGAUGGGAAUGGGCUCAAGAUUUCAAAUCUGUGCCUGCGCCGGUUUUGACACCGUGCAAUGAAGCAUCCGAGCUCUCAGAUGUCUGGCUCUUCCGAGUUGUGAAAUGAGAAAACAAACAAAUCCAACCAUUCCAGCCCUGUCAAUCUCCUUCUCAGUGGACAGAUGCCCUGGUGCCAGAAAAGCUUCAUCCCAUGAUCCCACACCUCUUGGCAGUGCCAAAAAAAACCCCAGAGAUCUACUGGACGUGAAAAGCAUGACGGCUCCAAAAAUGGGAUUUAUGGCCACACUGGAGCUCCUGGGCUAAGAAUUUGCCAAGGGCAUCAACAGCAGUUUUCCCAGGCUCCAGCACAAGGAUUAUGUAGUCAAUCCACAAAUGACUCAAGUCUUUGAAGAAAAGGACAUGGUUAUCAGAGAGGCUUUGACGACAGCAAGGACGGGAGUGCUAUCUGCCUUUUUCCAUCAGAGAUCCCCAUUCCCUCUCAUUAACAUACCCAGGACAUCAGCACAGCCAUCAGCCCGAGGGAAUCACUUCCAACUUUUAAGGGAAUAUUCACAAGACCUCGCCCCUGCGUUGUUUCAGACAGAUCAAACCAGAUUUGCCUCGUGCAAGGGUUCUUCAAUCCCGCUGAAGAUGUGAUGUGAAAGCUGCUGCUGCUGAAACAAUUCUCCCCUCUUUGAGGGGAUAAAGUGCAAUGGGAAUAGAACUGCUCAGUGAAAAAUUCCUUGUGGCAGAAGGAUGGGCAGCAUGGAGAUUUCUGACAUGGUUUGGAUGUCACUUCCAUCAAGUAGAAGGAAUGUUAUGCUAAAACUGUUCAUCAAAACUGAGAACUCACGGAUUAUUUUGUUGGAAAGUCAAGAAAACAACCACUGAUUUUUUUCCACAGGGCAGAGAUUUUGUGUUAGAAGAGAAAAUGAGAAAACAACCUGACCCCAAAAGAGGGAAAAAGGGAAAACCUGAGAUUAGAGCAGAGAAAAGGUAUCAAAAGAAAUUUGAUGAAGACCUAAUUGUAUCCAAAUCCAUGAUUGUUUUGAAAUCCAAGGAACUUCUGUCAUAUUAUCUGUUCAGAGGGGCUCUGAACAGAUAAUCCUCAUCUCUUGUAUCCCACUUUCAAAAGUUCAGUCUAUUCCAUUCUGAAAGACAGGGAAAACGCCUGGAUUUAUGGUGCUUGGGAGUAUUGGAAUUAGAUGUAAGCAGCUGGGUUUUCCCAGGAAUGUUAUUCUGGAAUAAUAUUUGAGUAACACAAGUUCUGGCACAGUGCUGGGGGUGGUGUGGGUACAGGAGCACUGUCAGGUGGACUUGAAACUGGAAAGAUUCCUUGUCACAUAACUGAUCCCAAAUUUCACUCGGGAUUUUUUACCAAGUUUCCAUUCCCAUUGCAAAUAUAUGGAUAACAAGUUUAGGCAUUAUCCUUAAAAAAGUAAAGAAAUUAUUUCUUUAAGAGAUGGGUGAUCUGUAGAAGACAUUUGUGUAAUUUUGCAUUCUAAAUGUGAUUUAUAUUUAUAAAUAAAUUUGCAUAAAAUCUCCA